rnacentral:lncRNA from 10 species
UCCCUUCAUUAUUGCACACCAGGGGUAUCCCACAGAAUGAAACAACAGGUGCUGGAGAGCAUGUGGAGAAAUAGGGACAGUUUUACACCUUUCAUGGGACUGUUAACUAGUUCAACCAUUGUGGAAGACAGUGUGGCGAUUCCUCAAGGAUCUAGAAAUAUACAAAAAUUAGCUGGGCAUGGUAGUGGGGGCCUGUAAUCCCAGCUGCUCAGGAGGCUGAGGAAGGAGAAUCACUUGAACCCGUGAGGUAGAAGUUGCAGUGAGUCAAGAUUGUAUCACCUGCACUCCAUCCUGGGCGAGAGUAAAACUACAUCUCAAAAAAAUAAUUAAAAAAAAAGUGCUAUAUACCAUCUAAUCCAGCAGAUUAAUUAACAUGACUCCAGGCUUUGAUAACAUUGAAAUCUGCCAAAAAUAAAAUGCUUAAUCCUAGGAAACAAAUAUUCUAGCUUUUGUAACUUCCAAAAGGAAAUCCUGGCCCAUUCUUAGCAGGAUAUUGAAUUGUUUCCAAUAGUAACAAAAAUAUUAUACACGGCAUCUGUCUACAGAGUAGCUUCUAUGUGCUUUACACUGCGCUAGGCAUUUUACAUGUGUUCCUAUUUCCCAUCACAGCAAACCUGCACAGUAGGAAUUAGCCCCGUUUUCUAGACAGUCUCUAGGCAGAGAGUAAAUGGCUUGCCCACAGUGUCUGUGGCAGAGUAGGACUCAAACUCCUCACCGUCUUGUUCCAGAGCUUGUAGGCUUUUCUCUACCCUCAGUGAUUCUCAAAUGUUUUUAAUCUUUCAAACUGGCACCUCAUUUUAUUAAGGUAACAACCUCCCAUAAAAUUCCAUGCCAGCUCUUACAUAGGAAAGAGCUAAGAGUAAAGCUGUCCUGGCUUAAUUGAGGGUGGAGUCCAGCCGACUGUCCACUCUGCUACUCCCACUACCAACAGAGGCUGAGACCUUCAGAGGAAUCUGGGCCUGCAGAAUGUUUGGAAAGCACUGCUUUGUGCCAUGCUAUUCCAGCCGGGUGGAUUCCUCAGCUGGUCGUAUGGAGCCAGUGACAAAACUGCCCAGCUCUGGUCACUCCUGCUGUACAAGAAUAUCAGAAUUGCAGGACACAUCUAGAGGACAUAGGAUUUUGCAAAAAAAAACAAAAGAAAGAAAGAAAGAAAGAAAGAAAGAAAAGAAAAGAAAGAAAGAGAGAGAAAGAUGGACUUCACCUCUACAAAAAAAAAAAAUUAAAAACAAUCAGCCAGGCAUGGAGGUGCACCGGUAGUCCCAGCUACCCAGAGACUGAGGCUCAGAGGCUGAGGUGGAGGGAUCCCUUGAACCCAGGAGUUUGAGGCUGCAGUGAGUUAGUGUCGCACCCCUGCACUCCAAAAGAUAAAAUGAAAGAAAUAGAUUUAAAUUAAUUCUUUUCAAAACCAGUGCUCCUACUCUUCCCCAUUAACCCCUAACCCAUUCUUCUUUCUCACCAGUGACAUUUAUUCAUCUGUCAACAUCCUCACAUGGAUAGAACUGCUCAGUUUUCCAGUGGCAAAUGGAAAUGGCUCAUACACUUUAGGACUGCAAGUGAUACUUCUCAUAAAUAUUUAGAAAGACAGACAAGGUAAAAAUAAUGUUUCCUCUUAGAAUUCAAAGUAAAACUUUGACUGACUGAAUUAAAAACUGCUUUUAUCAAUGCCUCGCUCUAUUUUUUUUCUUCAGCUGAUAGGUCAGGUCACUUAUACAAAAUGAUUCUAUUAUAUCAAAUUAUUGUUUUGAUGUGUCAUUAGAGAGACAGAGAGAGAGACAAAGAGAGGGAGAAUGACUCCAGGCUAUUAGUUUUAUCUUGCCUAAUACUACUCAGCUCUGUGAUAAUUUCGUAUUGUAACUUUUACUGGGUUGAAUUUUGGAAAUUAUUUCAAAUAUAUUCUCCUAACUUAUUCAAUAUCUGUACAUUUUUCAGUAGUAAGAACUUUUAAAAUGGAAUGUGGAUGUUGAAGCCUUCCUUCACUUAUCUAGGUGAGUGAUUUUGAUGAGUAUAAGCUUACUCUGCCCCAUGCAGGUAAUUUAUUCUUGAAAAACCACUUGUUAAGUGAAUUUUCAUAAGUAAAAAAAAUCAUUACCAUUAACUUUUAGGAGCAUGGAUUUAUGCUAAGACAACACCAAAGCCCAUUAAAGUUGGCUCAGUUACUUCAACAGACACAUUAGUUAAACAACCUAACAAAGCCUUUUCUCUUUAUUAAUUAUGCCAUAAUAUGGCUAUUCACUUACUCUCAUUAAGUUCUUGUGGCACUAUUAUGCAAUAUAUACUUAAGAUUAUUCUUACAAAUAAAACAUGUUGAAUACUCAAUGUUUAUAUAGUUCAAUCUUUAUUGCAAAACAUCCAUGACAGAAAGACCAGAAAUCUCACCGAAAACAAGAACAAAUUAUUUCACACUCACCAAAUAACUUGACAUCCUCAGCGCAUCAGAUUAUCACUGCUGUAAACUACAAAACACUAGGCCACUGAGACAAUGUAACGCAUAGCAGUCCAUCAACAACUGUGAGCAUGGCUGCACGGUGCUUCUGGUCUGUCUAGGUUCAGCUGCCUGUGUGAAAUCCAAAAUCCAAAUCUGUCCUCAGAUAUGCUAAGAAAUGUCUCGCAAGCCCAAGUUGGGGUAUAGAACAAAACUUGGAAAAAAAUCAAAUUCAUGUCAUUCUACCUGAUGUCACAUACCCAAUUCCUCAAUUUGAGUUUUAGAUUGUUUAUAUGAUAAUCACACUAAGCGAUUAAUAUCCUGAGUGCCUUUGGAAACAGUAUCUUUUAAAGGUUUCAUUUGCCUGAACUGGUUGAAGAUAUUUGUUUUCAAUGACUCAGCAGAGAAUCUCAGUUUCCCACCCUAUCCUCAGAACCAUUACCCUAUCUGAGGAAUUUGCCAAACUUGAAUGGCUAUGUGGGUGACUGCGUAGCAGCUGCCAAAAGUAUUGUCACCCCAGGCACCUACCUUCAUUACAACCAUGACAGAAAACAACCAUGUUCUGGGAAUCUUUUAUGUCAUCUGUAUCUUCCAGUUUUUUUCUUCAUAACUACAAGUUAGUUGUCAAUUCUUUGUCUGGAUUUAUUUCUAAAAAUAGUAUCCUGAGAAAACACAGCCCAAGGACAAAGAACAACUCUAAAAUUACAGUAUGACCAACAACACUUGAAUCUUUUUUCGCUUUUAAAAGAAUCAUGAACACAGGAAAUGAGCUUUAGCCUUUAUUUUUGCUGUGUCUUGAGAGACAUUCAAUAAGGAGCUGAAAAUGAAGUAUGCUUCAAACUUUAAAGGCAAUGACGAAAUGGAAAGAAGAGUGUCCUUCAAAACUAUAGAAGCAACUUCAACCAGACUAAUCCUAUUUCAAAGAAAUGGGCCAUAACAGCAUAGACUGCUCCACGUUUUGUUCAUUCCAUCUACAGUACAUCAACAGGCUUUUUCCAAAAGUGUAUGGACAAAAUACUUGAGUUGAGAUCUGUAGCCUUAGCCUUCUAAAGAUGAUAUCUAUAGGUUGUCAUGGUAACUCACAGGGCGCCAUCUUUAAAAGCACUGAACUCAGGAAAAAUACGCACAGAGAAAUUUCAGCCCUAAAAGCUAUUUCCCAAAAUUGUCCAUUAUCUUACAUAUCUUUGUCUGCUUAGAGCCUUGCUGUAAUUUUUAUUUUCAUUCCAAUGCUCAAGAAACACUGAAACAAGUGAAAAAAUUGCUUGAAGUCCUUUAUUAUAGAAUUUCCAUGAUAAGUUUUAUACUAGCUUUUAAACUGAUGAACAUUGCUCCCC